rnacentral:tRNA from 1 species
GCAGGAGUAGCUCAGUUGGUAGAGCUUCUCGUUGCCAACGAGAAGGUCGCGGGUUCGAGUCCCGUCUCCUGCUCCA